rnacentral:rRNA from 1 species
UACAGAGGGUGCAAACGUUGUUCGGAAUUACUGGGCGUAAAGCGCACGUAGGCGGAUCGUUAAGUCGGGGGUGAAAUCCUGGAGCUCAACUCCAGAACUGCCUUCGAUACUGGCGAUCUUGAGACCGGGAGAGGUGAGUGGAAUUCCCAGUGUAGCGGUGAAAUGCGUAGAUAUUGGGAGGAACACCAGUGGCGAAGGCGGCUCACUGGACCGGAACUGACGCUGAGGUGCGAAAGCGUGGGGAGCAAACAGG